rnacentral:rRNA from 1 species
UACGAAGGGGGCUAGCGUUGCUCGGAAUCACUGGGCGUAGAGCGCACGUAGGCGGCUUUCUAAGUCAGGGGUGAAAUCCUGGAGCUCAACUCCAGAACUGCCUUUGAUACUGGGAAGCUCGAGUCCGGGAGAGGUGAGUGGAACUCCGAGUGUAGAGGUGAAAUUCGUAGAUAUUCGGAAGAACACCAGUGGCGAAGGCGGCUCACUGGCCCGGUACUGACGCUGAGGUGCGAAAGCGUGGGGAGCAAACAGG